CAUUUGUCUUUAUGGUAGUUUUGUAUUGCUUUUAUAGAGCUGCCCUCACAUGCUUCAGCAACAUUACAUGUUCUGGAGACUGGAAAGUCCAAGACCAUGGUGCCUGAGGAUUCGGUGUCUGGUGGACCCUAUUUAAUGUGGGAGAGGAAUACAUAAAAGGGUGGAUAUCAUGAGGUGAAAAUCAUUGGAGACCAUCUUGGAAGCUAACACAUCAAGAAUUAUUUUAUUUAUGAUUCAUUUGAAGUCUUUUUUUUAUUUAUAAUCUGUUUUACUUGGAAUGAUUGGUUAUCAGACUCAGCAUGUCUUCAAAUCUGUGUAACAGAUGCUAUCUUGUUUGUCAUUAGGUAAGUUCACCUGAAACCCUCAGGCAAGGCGUUCAGAACUAACACCUGUUGUGAUUCCCUCAUUUCUUAUGUGAUUUAAAUCAUGAAAAGCCCAUAUUUCUUUUGAAAAAUCAUUGCUUGUCUUUUGUCUCUGAAGUUAGCAUGUUUUCAGGCAAUGUUUUUGAAGUUAAAUAUAUUUGUUGUUUAGAGAUGACUUUUCUCUGCCCUUUUAUUUUACAUACAAGGGUACUGGUAUCCAGAGAGGAUGCAAAAUUUGUAAUAAAAUUUAGGUUUUCUGAAUCUUAAUCUUUAAUAUUU
rnacentral:lncRNA from 1 species